UGCAAAACAUUUCUAUUUCGAGAUUUAGCACCUGUAAUUUUAGAAAGUAGCAAAAUUAAGAAUGAAAUAUGAAACAAGUAGUAACAAUAAUAUAGCUGAGUAUCUGCAGAAACCUUUACCUUUAAUUGUUUGAGAUGGUAUAUUAUGUUGGUCAUUAGAAGUACGCGAUGUUGAGCCUAAAAGGGAAAAAUAUUUAUUAUCUAUAUAUGAAUAUCUAUAUAUUAUUAAAAAGAGGAUAGUUUUAGGACAAAAAGUAGUUAAUUAGUUAAUAAUUAGUUAUUAGUUAUUGUUUGACUUUAAAAAUAAUUAAAUAUCUAUUUUUUUAAAGUAGUGGUUGUAGUGUUACCCAUUUCUUUACAAUGAGGAAAAAAACUGAAGACCAUGUUUCUGCCAAAUCAAGUUUAAGUUUUAAAUAUUUGUAAUUCAUUUUCUUUUAAAUUCUACUUAGAAAGAUGAAAAAUGAAGGUGGAAAUUGCUAUUCUUAAAAAUUGCUAAAAAUGCUAUCCAUGUUAUACUAUUCCUAAAAAAUUCCUGCUAAAUUACACGUCUGGACCAGCAGUUGUGGUUGCAUUAUUGCAACAAAAGCAGAGACUUAGAAACCAACUAGACUCCUCCUUACCCAAUUCUCUCAACUGCACUUGACACCACAUUUAAAAGACCCCCAAAAAAAAAAAAAAACAACCAAAACCAACCCCAAAGCCUACGUUUGUAACUUCUCCAUUUUCCUCAUUUUAUUCUUUCAUGAUCACACACAACCUUCAACUCACAAAUAUACACCAUUAGAGUCUUUCAAGUUUCACGUGGCAACUACAAUGGAAUUGAAUUAAUUUUCAAAAGUUUGAAUUUUAAAUUUUUGAUUGAGAGUGGUUAAUUUUUUUUAAAAUUCAAAUUCACUAUAAAGAAGGGUUGCAAAGUGUCCACUUCCACGAUCAACUACUAAUUAACUGCUACAUUUAAAACAAAUUUAAUUUAUAAGAGGGCAACUUCUCUAUUCAGAUGGAGAAGUGCUUUCAUAAAAAAACAUUUUUCUUUAAAAGUUAUCGAAUAGAAUGGUUGGCUCUUCAUGAGAGCCCUUUCUAAGGAAAAAGUGAGAAACUUCUCUCCCAUGGUAAAAGAAGUAGGUAGUUAUGGCAGUACUCCUCAUGUCACCAUUGAAGAAUUCCAAGAACUUUUUGGAAGCAUCGGACAAGUAAUAUGUGGUGAUGAUAUAAGACCCGUGGCCAUGGAGCAUAAAGCUAUACAGAUGAAAAAGGAUAUAACAUAGGGAAUGUUGUUUUGUCAUAUGAAGAUGCUUCUGCAGCACUCUGCUAGGGGCUUUUAAAAUAAUUAUGACUUCAGAGGUUAAUUUUAAUAUCAGUGUUGCAAUGGCUGAGAAGUCUUCACUAAAGGCUCCUCCAGCAUAUGGUUUUUGGAACAACAACAGAAAAAGGAAUAUUCAUCCUUUUCAACUUACUGCAACUCUGAAUAUAUCAUGUUCACAUGUUAUGCCUUAUCAUCAUAUGUGGAGCAAAGUUAAAAGUAGAUAAUUCUAUGCUCGACAAAUAUACAUCAUGUGGUUGGGUGCCCAAUUGAAGUAGCAAUUUCACCUUCCAAAGUUUCAUAUACUGUAAAGGAUACAUGUAAUAUAAUGAUUUGAAUUGUGUAUUGCCUUCCAAUGAUUGGGAGCUUUUGUCACUCAAAGAUUUAUUUCUUUAACGGGGUAAUUUAAACCAAUAUGUAAUGGAAUGUAAUAGGGUUUGUGGUGCGAUUAUCACAUGUUCCAUAACAUGAUAACCCAAACAUGUCUUUCCCUCUCUAAUUAGGUAAAGAGAAAUAUUCAUCCUUUUCAAUUUACUGCAGUUCUGAAUAUAUCAUGUUCACAUGUUUAAUUAGGUAAGAGAAAAAGAUACAAAUUUUUUUUUUAGUAGAUAAUACUUAACUGAAUUUGAAUUGAAGAAAUAUUUUGAACCGGCAAGAGAAAAGUUAUACUAUGAAUAAGAUCAUGUAACUGAAAUAAAAGAUGGAAAAACAAAACAAAUGCCAAGCAACAAAAUAAAAUUAUAAAUACAAUAGAAUUUCUCAAAUAGAAAAUAUAAAUAAAUGCUUAUUGCAUAUAAUACUACACUAGCAAUUACUAAAAAUAUUAACAGAUUUUAUGAUAAAAUAAUAAAAAAAACUUCUCCAUUUAUACAUUGAACAAAUUUGGAAUCACGAUAAUACAUAACAUUGUUUGGACCAUAAGUAAACCACUUACUGGAAAACCUAAGUCAUAAUUUACUAUGAUUAAAUUAUAAAUUAAAAAAUAUGAAAAUAAUUAAUGUUUAGUGAUAAGAAUGUAUAUGAAGUCAUGUGUAAUUUUUAGCACUACUGGUCUAAUUCAAUAGCUUGAGAUUUUUAUGAUUUUCUAACAUCACAAUAUGGAGAAGUAAAUGAAGAUGUUUCUCUUGCUGAUGUUAUUCAUACAGUACCAGCAAACGAGUACAAUAGAUUUAUUAGACAUUAUUUCUUAGGCAUUAUUGGUGCUAAAUGUUAGCUUGGUCUUUUCAAUAAUAUUGGUUUUGGCGUUGUCUUACAUGGGGAUUGUUACGCUUACAAUUAUUCGAAUGAAGAUAAUGAUCACAGGAACAAUUCAUCAAGCAAAUCAUCAUCUUCUUUUAUGCAAAGAUCUUUAACUACCUCUUUUAAUACUUCAACAAAGGAUGCAUUAGAAUCUCAGGGAUAUUUUCAGGGCGAAAUAGAAGUCUGUGAAGUUUAAGUUUCUCCAAAAUUUAAAAUUUCAGUUUAAGAUGAUUGUUGUAACAAUUUCACAUAUUAGUUACAUACAAACAUAGAAGAGAUAACGUGAAAAUUGUGUACUCCCAAUAUCUUCUUCGUAUAGCUGUUUUGUGACAAUAACUAUUUUUACAUGCAUAAAUUUUUCCUAUCUCUGGUAUGUGAACUUCUGAAUUUAAAUUUCUUUGGACAAUGAUAUAGUUGAGAGAAGCGCUUUGCACAAUGCUAUAAAGAAGAUUUCACUGCAAGAUGUCGGAUCACAAAGCCGAAGUAAAAAAAAAUUCACUGUAU